rnacentral:tRNA from 1 species
GGAGAGAUGGCUGAGUGGUUUAAAGCGAUGGUCUCGAAAAUCAUUGUACUCAAACUAGGGUACCGGGGGUUCAAAUCCCUUUCUCUCCG